CUACGGGCCGCAGCAGUGAGGAAUAUUGCACAAUGGGGGGAACCCUGAUGCAGCAACGCCGCGUGGAGGAUGACGCAUUUCGGUGUGUAAACUCCUUUUAUAUGUCAAGAAAAUGACGGUAGCAUAUGAAUAAGCACCGGCUAACCCCGUGCCAGCAGCCGCGGUAAUACGGAGGGUGCAAGCGUUACUCGGAAUCACUGGGCGUAAAGGACGCGUAGGCGGGUUGGAAAGUCAGGUGUGAAAUCCUACAGCUUAACUGUAGAACUGCACUUGAAACUUCUAAUCUAGAGUAUGGGAGGGGGAGAUGGAAUUAGUGGUGUAGGGGUAAAAUCCGUAGAUAUCUCUAGGAAUACCUAAAGCGAAGGCGAUCUCCUGGAACAUUACUGACGCUAAGGCGUGAAAGCGUGGGGAGCAAACAGGAUUAGAUACCCUCGUAGUC
rnacentral:rRNA from 1 species